rnacentral:rRNA from 1 species
GCAUAUCAAUAAGCCGGAGGGAAAAGAAACCCAACAGGGGAUUGCCUUAGUAACCGGCGAGUGAAAGCGGCAAUAGCUCAAAUUUGAAAUCUGGCGUUUUUGGAUGCCCCGAGUUGUAAUUUGUAGAGGAUGUUUCGGUAUUAGCUCCGGUCUAAGUCCCUUGGAACAGGGUGUCGCAGAGGGUGAGAAUCCCGUACGCGACCGGCUGCUUUUGCCAUGUGAAACUCCUUCGACGAGUCGAGUUGUUUGGGAAUGCAGCUCUAAUUGGGAGGUAAAUUUCUUCUAAAGCUAAAUACUGGCCAGAGACCGAUAGCGCACAAGUAGAGUGAUCGAAAGAUGAAAAGCACUUUGGAAAGAGAGUUAAAAAGUACGUGAAAUUGUUGAAAGGGAAGCGCUUGCAAUCAGACCUGCUUGCAGUUGUUCAUCUAAGCUUUUGCCUAGUGCAUUCUUCUGCAAGUCAGGCCAGUAUCAGUUCGGGCGGUUGGAUAAAGAAUUCAGGAAUGUAGCUCCUCUCGGGGAGUGUUAUAGCCUGUUUUGUAAUGCAACCAGCCCGGAUUGAGGACCGCGCUUCGGCUAGGAUACUGGCGUAAUGGUUGUAAGCGGCCCGUCUUGAAACACGGACCAAGGAGUCUAACAUCUGUGCGAGUGUUUGGGUGUCAAACCCAUGCGCGUAAUGAAAGUGAACGGAGGCGGGAACCUUUUAGGUGCACCGUCGACCGAUCCUGAUGUCUUCGGAUGGAUUUGAGUAAGAGCAUAGCUGUUGGGACCCGAAAGAUGGUGAACUAUGCUUGAAUAGGGGUGAAGCCAGAGGAAACUUCUGGUGGAGGUUCGCAGCGGUUCUGACGUGCAAAUCGAUCGUCAAAUUUGGGGCAUAGGGGCGAAAAGACUAAUCGAACUAUUUCAGGAGGCUCGCUCCCUGCCGAAGUUUCCUU